UUCGAUUGAUUCAUAAUCAAGAUUCAUAAUCGGUCAAGCCCAAACCUAACUCAGCUAGCGUAUAAGGACUUCUGAGAGACUUAAUGUUGACAGUUAUUUCAUUGAUUAAGUUACGAGCGUAGGAGACAUCGUUGUGACUUGUAUACGGAUCUCUUGUUCUUUGAA